AUACGGAGGGAGCAAGCGUUAUUCGGAAUCACUGGGCGUAAAGGACGCGUAGGCGGGUUUGUAAGUCAGGUGUGAAAUCCUACAGCUCAACUGUAGAACUGCACUUGAAACUACAGACCUAGAGUAUGGAAGGGGCAGGUGGAAUUAGUGGUGUAGGGGUAAAAUCCGUAGAUAUCACUAGGAAUACCGAAAGCGAAGGCGAUCUGCUGGGACAUUACUGACGCUGAGGCGUGAAAGCGUGGGGAGCAAACAGGAUUAGAAACCCCAGUAGUCC
rnacentral:rRNA from 1 species